AGUGAACGCUGGCGGUAGGCCUAACACAUGCAAGUCGAACGGCAGCACAGUAAGAGCUUGCUCUUACGGGUGGCGAGUGGCGGACGGGUGAGGAAUACAUCGGAAUUUACUUUUUCGUGGGGGAUAACGUAGGGAAACUUACGCUAAUACCGCAUACGACCUACGGGUGAAAGCAGGGGAUCUUCGGACCUUGCGCGAUUGAAUGAGCCGAUGUCGGAUUAGCUAGUUGGCGGGGUAAAGGCCCACCAAGGCGACGAUCCGUAGCUGGUCUGAGAGGAUGAUCAGCCACACUGGAACUGAGACACGGUCCAGACUCCUACGGGAGGCAGCAGUGGGGAAUAUUGGACAAUGGGCGCAAGCCUGAUCCAGCCAUACCGCGUGGGUGAAGAAGGCCUUCGGGUUGUAAAGCCCUUUUGUUGGGAAAGAAAAGCAGCAGGUUAAUACCCCGCUGUCCUGACGGUACCCAAAGAAUAAGCACCGGCUAACUUCGUG
rnacentral:rRNA from 1 species